GUGACAGAGCCUUUCACCUUUGGGGUCAGC
rnacentral:piRNA from 2 species